UACAGAGGGGGCAAGCGUUGUUCGGAAUUACUGGGCGUAAAGGGCGCGUAGGCGGCCGCCUAAGUCAGACGUGAAAUCCCUCGGCUCAACCGGGGAACUGCGUCUGAUACUGGGUGGCUUGAAUCCGGGAGAGGGAUGCGGAAUUCCAGGUGUAGCGGUGAAAUGCGUAGAUAUCUGGAGGAACACCGGUGGCGAAGGCGGCAUCCUGGACCGGCAUUGACGCUGAGGCGCGAAAGCAUGGGGAUCAAACAGG
rnacentral:rRNA from 1 species